GAUGAACGCUGGCGGCGUGCUUAACACAUGCAAGUCGAACGGAAAGGCCCAAGCUUGCUUGGGUACUCGAGUGGCGAACGGGUGAGUAACACGUGGGUGAUCUGCCCUGCACUUCGGGAUAAGCCUGGGAAACUGGGUCUAAUACCGGAUAGGACCACGUCUUGGAUGUUGUGGUGGAAAGUUUUUUCGGUGUGGGAUGAGCUCGCGGCCUAUCAGCUUGUUGGUGGGGUAAUGGCCUACCAAGGCGUCGACGGGUAGCCGGCCUGAGAGGGUGUACGGCCACAUUGGGACUGAGAUACGGCCCAGACUCCGACGGGAGGCAGCAGUGGGGAAUAUUGCACAAUGGGCGCAAGCCUGAGGCAGCGACGCCGCGUGGGGGAUGACGGCCUUCGGGUUGUAAACUCCUUUCGCUAGGGACGAAGCGUUUUUGUGACGGUACCUGGAGAAGAAGCACCGGCUAACUACGUG
rnacentral:rRNA from 1 species